UACGUAGGGGGCAAGCGUUGUCCGGAUUUAUUGGGCGUAAAGAGCGUGUAGGCGGCCAGACAGGUCAGCUGUGAAAACUCGAGGCUCAACCUCGAGACGUCGGUUGAAACCGUCUGGCUAGAGUCCGGAAGAGGAGAGUGGAAUUCUCGGUGUAGCGGUGAAAUGCGCAGAUAUCGGGAAGAACACCCGUGGCGAAGGCGGCUCUCUGGGACGGUACUGACGCUGAGACGCGAAAGCGUGGGGAGCGAACAGG
rnacentral:rRNA from 1 species